rnacentral:siRNA from 1 species
UAAGACUUCAUGUGGUUGGAA